rnacentral:lncRNA from 1 species
AAAAAAAAAGAAGAUGAAUGAAUGUGAAAAAUCAAAAAAAUAGAGAAAAGAAGUAAUAAAAGAAUUGCAAAACUUUGUUUGAUGAUGUGAAAAAAGUUCUCUAGUCCACUAUAGUUCAAAAGAAAAGGGUUGGUUUAUGAAUUUUUGACCAUAGGGGGAUCUAACUCCAAGUUUUUCUACUACUUAUCCAAAAAUGUCACCAUCCACCCUAGCCAAGCCACGUUAUAACCCUAAAAGAC